GCCGCAGUGCUGCCGGCUCCCUCCUCCCCGCCGCAUCGCUGUCGCCAUGGCGCUGUGUGGCCGCUCCGCUCUCCUCCUGCCGCCCCCGCGCCCCUCGCCGCGUCGCCCCCGGGCCGCCGAGGCUUUCGUCAGCUGCAGCCGCCUUCGAAACAUUCAGAGUAUCCUGACACAGAGCAGCAAAUCUCAACCUGAUGGAAUCCUUUGCAUCUUAGGAAUAGAUAGUCGGUACAAUGAAGGUUGCAGGGAACUGGCAAACUAUCUGCUUUUUGGGUUGUAUAACCAGAAUAACAACGACUUUGAAAGAACUGGGUUUCCUGAAGAAGUUCUUGAUGAUAUAAUCAUAUUAAUAAAACGUGACAGUGUCCAUCUGUACUGUAACCCUGUGAAUUAUAAUCAUCUUUUGCCAUAUGUGGCAUACUGGAGGAACUUGCAUUUUCACUGUCUAACUGAAAAUGAGUAUGAAGAUGAAGAAGCUGCAGAGGAAUUCAAAAUUUCCAGCUUUGUAGACAUGGUUCGAGAUUGCAGUCGCAUUGGUAUUCCAUACAGCUGCCAAGGUCAUUUACAGAUAUUUGAUAUGUUCAUUGUUGAAAAGUGGCCAAUAGUGCAGGCUUUUGCGCUGGAAGGAAUUGGGGGUGAUGGCUUCUUUACAAUGAAAUAUGAAUUAAUGGAUGUCAGUGUUGACUUGUGGAAGACAUACAGCAAAAUGGAUCCUGUUUCCUUGGAGGACUUGCUCUUUGAGGAUUUAAUGAUUUUUGAACACCAGUGGACCAACUUUUUUGCUAAUUUUGAUACCGAAAUUCCCUUCAUUCUGGAACUAUCAGAAUCUCAGGCGGGGGAGCCUUUCAGAAGUUAUUUCAGUCAUGGAAUGAUCUCAAGCCAUAUAACAGAUAACAGCCCUAGCCGGCAGCCCUUUGUUCUGUUUGGUAGCCACUCAACUAAGGAAAACUUGAACUCUGGUAACUUUAAUUUUCCAUCAGAAGGACAUCUUGUUCGAAACACUGGCCUUGGUGGAAGCACUGCUAAGCAUAUGGUAGUGCAGUGUGUAUCUCCAAAGGGACCUCUGGCUUGCUCAAGGACCUAUUUUUUUGGAACCACUCACAUUCCUUUCCUGGGAAAUGACAACGAGAUGCACAAGCAAGCUGAACAAGUUACGCUGUUGUCGCAAAUAUAUACUGCUGUUGUAGAGGCUGUGCUUGCUGGCAUUGAGUGCUAUGCUAAAACUUCCACUGAAUCCAAGGCAAAGGAGGUAGCAGAGCAGAUGCUUAUGUCUGUGUUAGAUACCCUUCAUUUAACACAACUUAAAACUGCAUUACGCUCCAAAAUCGCUUUUCAAAUUCAGGCUGUGAAUAAUCAUGGAAGAAUUACUCCAUUAGAUAAUGAGGAUAGCCUGAGUUUGAUUAAAACGGCAUCUAUGAUGGUGUUUGACAUUCCAGACUUGCUCACAGAAAGAGGAUGCUUGGGAUCUGUUGUCUUUUCAGAGUCCUUUCUAACAUCACAGAUACAAGUAAAAGAAAAAGGUGGCAGCAUUAAUUCAGAAACCAGCCACAUAAUACUGACGGCAGCUAUCCCAAGAUACGCUUCUUGGCUGGUUGAAGAUAGUGAUGUGAAACUGUCUGAAAAAGCACAGUGUGUAUUGAAGGAAGACAAAUCUUUUCUGGGCACUUUACUCACUGGAGGAGAUGGAGCGUAUAUGUAUUCUACCAAUCCACAGGCCAUGCCUGCAGAAGGCAAAUUGUACUUCUUUUCAGAUGGCAUUCUCUUUUCUGAUCCCCACCAUGGCAGCAUUUCCAUUUCAAAGAACCAUAUGAGUUCCAUUUCACUCUAUGAUGGGGAUUCAACCAGUAUUGUUGCUGCUCUCUUUAUAGGCAUCAAAAGUUCCUUGCUUGCUCAUCUACCAAUUGAAUUUCAUACCCAAGACAAUUUUUUGAUGAUUGCACUUUUCCCCAAAACAAAGAUUUAUAAAGCUUUUUAUUCACAGGUUUUCUCUUCGUGGCAAAACCAGACAAACUCAGGAUUAUCUUUAACGGUUGUCCAGGAAGAAUUCCUGUCUGUGGAACAAAAGAGACUGCAUUCCAGUGUUCAGAAGCUAUUUAAUGCCUUGUCUUUUCCUUCUGGGGAAAGAUGCAGGGAGUUGAAAAUAUCUGCUGCCCUUCCAGAAUUAGAGAGGUUUCUGCAACAUUUUACAGUCAGCAGCGUCAGUCAUGAGCCAAUAAUGAGAGCACAUCUUCCUAUUCUAUUGCAACAGUCAGAAAUCAUUCCUGAUAGCAAAGCAGAAAGUGAUAAGGUGGUUAUCACCAUUAUAACUGGUCUUCCGGGAUGUCGUUGCAGUGAUCUGUGCGCUUUUCUUGUAACUUUUAACAAGGAGCGUGGAAGGUGGAUAGUUUAUCGGCAAACUAUGGAUAGUCCUGAAUGUUUCAGUGCAACCCACUUCCAGCGUUACCUCUCCAGUGUCCUGGAGGCUCAGCAAAACCACAGCGUCCGUCAGUCCAUUUAUGCUAAAAGGAACAAGCGUCUCUUAGUGGUCUUGCAAGGAUACACUGAUGUUAUUGAUGUUGUACAGGCUCUGCAAACUCAUCCUGACCCAGACGUGAAGUCGUCUUUCAUCAUUGGAACAGUUAAUACUUGUGUAGAGCCACUGAGUUGCUAUAUGGAACAUAGGCUUCUUUUUCCCAAGUUCUUGGACCAGUGUUCACAAGGACUAGUGAGUAACGUGGUUUUCACAAGUCAUGCUACAGAGCAGAAGCAUCCACUCCUUAGGCAAUUGCAGAGCCUUAUCCGAGCGGCAAAUCCUGCUGUUUCAUUCAUCUUGGCAGAAAAUGGAGUUGUAACUAGGAAUGAGGAUAUUGAAUUAAUUCUCUCAGAAAGCAGUUUUUCAAAUCCUCAGAUGAUGAGAGCACGAUAUUUAAUGUAUCCUGGCUGGUAUGAAGGCAAAUACGGAGCUGGGUCUUUCUUCCCUCCAAUGGUUCAGAUCUGUGUAUGGUUUAAUCGUCCUCUAGAAAAAACACGCUUUGUGACCAAAUGUAAAGCGAUUAAGUCAUUGCUCAAGCCAAGUCCUUUUUCUGGAAACAUUUAUCACAUCAUGGGCAAAGUUAAGUUUUCAGAUUCUGAUAAAGUGAUUGAAGUCUGUCACAACACAUCAUCUAACUCACUAAGCCUUGUGCCUGUUCAGGAGGGGCCAAAUCCUCCUGAUUCAAGAAGUGAUAACAGAGAUUGCAGCAGUCAACAGGAGUGCUUCCUUGUGUUCAUUGGCUGCUCUCUUAAGGAAGAGGAUAUAAAAGACUGGCUCAGAGAAACUGCGAAACAGAAACCUCAGAGGAAAGCCCUGAAAACCAGAGGAAUGCUAACCCUUCAGGAAAUAAAAAACAUUCACGUGAAACGCCACUUGGAUCCACUUCCAGCUGGUUAUUUUUACAACGGGACUCAAUUUGUGAAUUUUUUUGGUGACAAAAUGGAUUACCAUCCAUUAAUGGACCAAUUCAUGAAUGAUUACUUGGAAGAAGCCAACAGGGAAAUAGAGAAGUACAACAGAGAACUAGAAGAACAAGAGUAUCACGAUCUCUUUGAGCAGAAGACAUAAGCAUGUGUGUUCUGUGCAUUUCUGAACCACCGUCAGUAACCAAAAAUGCUGUUGUCCUUGCUGGUUAACUAGAAAAUUAAGUGAAAUGUCAGUUUUCAGCACUCCUUUUAAAACUAAGAGAUCAUUCCUGUAAGGUUGGCAUUUUAAUAUGGUAACUGCUUAGCUGUUUGUACUGUCAGGUUUGCUUCCACUUCACCUUAAUUCCAGACUGUAAAAAGCAUCACCUGGAAUCUCUGGCUAGUAGUGGAAAUUUAUUUUAAAAAAUAAGAAGAAAGAAGCAAAACUAUAUUUCCUAGUAGGUCAGAAUGUAAUCAUUGAAUUGGUCCGUUGUGCAGAUAAUCAAACCACUUUAAUCUCUGGGUGUCCCUUGAAACUUGUUGCACAAGAGCAUUGAUAAGCAGUGGUAUACUUUAGUAUGUGGGAUUGGGGGAUGUUCCUAAAGCGAGAAAUGGGGGAACAUUUAAAAAACUCAGAAGAGUAGCUAAUCCCACAGCUCUUAGGGUGUUCCCAAAGCGAGAAAUGGGGGAACAAUUAAAAGCAACUCAGAAGAGUACCUCAUCCUACAGCUGUUAGGGUGUUCCCAAAGCGAGAAAUGGGGGAACAAUUAAAAAGCUUGGAAGAGUACCUAAUCCUACUGCUGUUAGGGUGUUCCCAAAGCGAGAAAUUGGGGAACAAUUAAAAAACUCGGAAGAGUACCUAAUCCUACUGCUGUUAGGUAUUCCCAAAGCGAGAAAUGGGGGAACAAUUGAAAAACUCGGAAGAGUACCUAAUUCCACUGCUGUUAGGGUGUUCCCAAAGCGAGAAAUGGGGGAACAAUUAAAAAGCUCGGAAGAGUACCUAAUCCUACUGCUGUUAGGGUGUUCCCAAAGCGAGAAAUGGGGGAACAAUUAAAAAACUCGGAAGAGUACCUAAUCCUACUGCUGUUUAGGGUGUUCCCAAAGCGAGAAAUGGGGGAACAAUUAAAAGACUCGGAAGAGUACCUAAUCCUACUGCUGUUAGGGUGUUCCCAAAGCGAGAAAUGGGGGAACACUUAGGCAUCUGCAUUUUUCUGAGGGGACAGUAUGUCUCAUAACCUCUGCACAGUUUGAAUCUGCAGUCAAAAUUUUUGAAUUUUCUAAAGAAAAGAUGUUUAUACAUUUCAGGGUGAAACAAGAUAAGUAGAGAUACCUUGCUUUCUUCCCAGUGUUGUUAUUGGUGUUCUAGAAAACAUGACAUGGAUGGUAGUAAUCUGCAAUUUGCUGUUGCUUAGAAGAUUAUCUCUGAAGGAUUCUUAUUUCAGUACUAAAAACUAAGCAAAGCAAGGGAAGAGGGAGAUUUUUUAGCUAAGGAAUUCCUUUUCAUGAAAAUUACUUAUUUCCAAAGGUAAAAAAUACCAAGAGAUACACGUGAAAUCCAAAAGAACUUUUUUUGUGAAGCUUUCAGAAAAAUCUGCAUGCCGUAACAUUUCACUAAACUGAUACACCAGGUUUUAAGUACUUGCAACAAAACCUUUAUAGUUACCAAAUCAUAAUACAAUAGGAAUUCUGGCAACUUGUCCUUUAACUUAAUUCAGUACAAUUUUAAGUGAGAAUUCAUAGAUCACUGACUGAAGGAUUAUAAGGUACCCUCACAGCUACUUAGGCGUAAUUAUUGAAGCUUAUUUGAAUAAGCAGAUUAUUGUAGCAUGCUGUGUGUUCAGAAUUUAGUCAAGAGAAAACAGUUCAGGAGGAAUUUUUUAUUUUCAUAUUCCUUUGCCUUAGGAACAGCUCCGUCUUUUAAUACAACUGCAACUUUUGGUUUUGGUCAGAUAUAUGUAACACAGUAAGAAACGGAAUGAAUAAUUUCUUACAGUACACUUAAAAUACUUAUAACGUGUCCACGCAGUCUCUUUCUGUGGCAGGAGAAUGAGAUUUAGCUCCUGCCAUCAAACCUAAGGCUAGAUACAGUUUUAUGCCUUACUUAAGAAAUAUGUUUUUUACCUUUGGAAAAUGAAAUGGCUGAAAUUUCAGUAAGCCUGUCAAAAAAUGAAACACCUUUUAGGUAGACUUUCAGUACAUGUUGCUACUAGCUGGCUCAGUGCCUGUGCUGUGGUGGUUAUACAGUGCAGAGGUGGAAUUCCAGGUGCUGCAGAUUGGGAUAUAGAUGUUGAUAAGGUUUCGUUACUAGCUUUCCUACUAGAUUUAAAAAGCUGUCUGAAUUUAAGAAAUUUUUUUUUGCACACCACGAGACUUUAUAAACUACUUGUAUCCUGUUCAAGUACAAUAAAAGCCAGCGAUUAGUUUGUGUUUCUAGGCUUUCUGGGGUAACCCAUAUUACAGGUAUAGAGCAUCAUGAUAAGGCUCGUGAGUUUAUCUAUGCAUGGCUAUACUUUAGUCUUAAUAUACUGUAGUGCCUGGUAGAGCAAACGUAGCUAGCAGUGGAUUGGAGGGGCUAGCGGGUGUUUACAAACUAAGUACAGUUGGUUGCAUGAAACAAUUUAUCAGACCAGGAUUAUUAGAGUACAAAAUUCUGGUCGUAACACUGCAAUAAAAAGGGGCAUUAGAAAAUUCUUAACAAAUUAUAGUUCUUUGCCAAUAAACUUAGUGUAAACCCAGUGUGCUCCUUUUCAGUACGAGUUAUCUAAUCUGCAAAGCCAUAUUUCUAGAAUAGUGGUAUGACUAUGUAAUGUCAGAAGAAAUACCAGUGGUUGGGACAGCAGGCACUUUGGUGAUGCUUUGUCUCAACUUGUAAGUCAAUAACAGAGUAGAUUUAAGUGCAAUUGAUUGAACGAUAGAUGAAGAUACUGUAGCUUAUUUUGCUCUGCUGAACUCUUUUUAAGAACUCCAAUUUGUGCAGCUCUUGAAAAUAAAUGUUGAUGGGGCUAAUUCAUCUGGGGUUGGCGUAGCGAGUUGCAAUUACAAGUGAGAUGCCCUGUGAACAAAAAGGAAAUAAGUAUUCAAAAUUGGCGUGCUACUGUGCAAAUUGAGCUGUUCCUUAAAAACUGAAGCAGAAGAGCUCAGAACAAAGGCCUAGUAUACUUAUAUACCGUACUGCAUGCUAUAUGGUAAUAGCUGUGUAUUAUGAAGACCUUUCACCAUACUGGUACUAUUUCAAUUAAUAUAUUUUGGUAUUGAAAUAAAUUGAUUACCUCAAUUUUUAUUUUUUUUUUUUUAGUUUUUAACUGUGACUUUAAAACAGAAAAAAUACCGAAAUAGUGAAACUGUGACAAUGGUAUCCUUUAAACAUAGUAGUGCCUUGCAGAUGACACCAUUUAUUUAUGAAGCAUAAAAUAAAUGGAUGUCAUGGGUUGUAUUGCUUGCACCCUCUUUUUUUAAAGGAAAAACGGUUUUGGUGAAAGGACUUAAAAUUAACCUAGUGAAGAAUAUUAGCACAAAUGGUUAAACUGUUUAAAAGAAAACUCUUUGAGGACUAAAAUGUGUAAAUGCCUGAUGCUGCUGAUAGUUUAAUAGCAGUUGCUGAUUAUUUUGGAGUUACUUCUAACAAUCAGCAGCACUUUUUUUUUUUUUUUUUAGAAGAGCAUAACUUUUGUACUCUGGUCAGAGAUAUUUAUACUGUAUCAAACCCCGUCUGUAGGGUAAUCUGGUUUCCUCACUUUUGAAGUCGAGGUGAGGAUGGAGAUACUGCUAAGGAUCUAGUUUUGAAAAUUUUUUUAGCUACUGUAAAACUAAAAAAAAAAAAAAAAAAGCACCAUUUCUAAACCGCAAAUGUUUGGAUACAGAAAAAGUGCCAUUACACUGUUCCUUUAUCUUUUACUGUAUUUUGAAAAUUGGUAACAGUAACUUUGUGUCCAGGCAUUUCUGAUAUUGUGAAGAAGUGCUGAGAGUCCUCAAGGGGUUUACGUGCUUUGCUGACCUUCAUGUUAGCAGCUUGUGGUGGUGUUUUUUUUUUUUUUCCCUCACCGAGAAUGAGUGUGGUCAGAACUUACUGAAGUUAUAGGGAGAAAAAUGUGAUAAACUUAGGAGAGGAACAUUUGCAACUUGAACCGCGCUGCAAUCUCGGAGUAUUUUAUAUUAAGCUGUGCAAUUUGUUAUUAGUCCAAUUUUACACUUUGCAAUUAACAAAACUGAUUGCAGGGAGGAUUUAAGUUGCAUGUAAAAGUUCCCUAAUAAGUUUUUUUUAAUUAUUGUUUUUUAAUUGAAACUUUUCUGAAUUUGCACAGAUUUAAGCUCUGGAAUACUUUGGUAUUCUUAAAAGGGAAAAAUUGUAACUAGUAUAGUGAAUUGUAAACUGUGAGUUGUUAGAACCGCAUUGUUGAUCUAAUUUUAGAUUGUUUAAAAAUGUACCUCAGAAAGCUAGUGAGAAAUUACAUCAUUUUUACACAACGGUCAGAUACUAAUGUAACACUUCUCACUUUACAAUGUGCCAAAAUUCACUUUCAUACUAGUUCUCAAUGCUUUAAUAUUUGCAACUUUAAGUUAAAAACUUGUAUUUACAAACACUACUGUAACUUCAGUUAAACUGAAUCGUGUGAUUGAAGCUUUUUGCCUGUUGUAUUUAUUACACAACUUGAUUCAGUAAAUAUAAAAUUACCUUUCCAUUUAUUUUUGUAUUGUUUUACAUGUUUAUACCUGCAGUUCGUGUGACUUUUACACCUGUAACUCAGAUGUGAUGGAAAGAACCAAUAAACAGUAUCCAUCUGC